AUUGAACGCUGGCGGCAUGCCUUACACAUGCAAGUCGAACGGUAACGGGCCUUCGGGUGCCGACGAGUGGCGAACGGGUGAAUAAUGCAUCGGAACGUACCUUUCAGUGGGGGAUAACGUAGCGAAAGUUAAGCUAAUACCGCAUAUUCUGUGAGUAGGAAAGCAGGGGAUCGCAAGACCUUGCGCUGAUUGAGCGGCCGAUGUCAGAUUAGCCAGUUGGUGAGGUAAAGGCUUACCAAGGCGACGAUCUGUAGCGGGUCUGAGAGGAUGAUCCGCCACACUGGGACUGAGACACGGCCCAGACUCCUACGGGAGGCAGCAGUGGGGAAUUUUGGACAAUGGGGGCAACCCUGAUCCAGCCAUGCCGCGUGAGUGAAGAAGGCCUUCGGGUUGCAAAGCUCUUUCGGCCGGGAAGAAAUCGCACAGGCUAAUACCUUGUGUGGAUGACGGUACCGGAAUAAGAAGCACCGGCUAACUACGUGCCAGCCGCCGCAGUAAAAC
rnacentral:rRNA from 1 species